rnacentral:rRNA from 1 species
CUGACCUCCAAUCAGGCGGGACUACCCCUGAACUUAA